rnacentral:rRNA from 1 species
GACGAACGCUUGCGGCGUGCUUAACACAUGCAAGUCGAACGGAAAGGCCCUGCUUUUGUGGGGUGCUCGAGUGGCGAACGGGUGAGUAACACGUGAGUAACCUGCCCUUGACUUUGGGAUAACUUCAGGAAACUGGGGCUAAUACCGGAUAGGAGCUCCUGCUGCAUGGUGGGGGUUGGAAAGUUUCGGCGGUUGGGGAUGGACUCGCGGCUUAUCAGCUUGUUGGUGGGGUAGUGGCUUACCAAGGCUUUGACGGGUAGCCGGCCUGAGAGGGUGACCGGCCACAUUGGGACUGAGAUACGGCCCAGACUCCUACGGGAGGCAGCAGUGGGGAAUAUUGCACAAUGGGCGGAAGCCUGAUGCAGCAACGCCGCGUGCGGGAUGACGGCCUUCGGGUUGUAAACCGCUUUCGCCUGUGACGAAGCGUGAGUGACGGUAAUGGGUAAAGAAGCACCGGCUAACUACGUGCCAGCAGCCGCGGUGAUACCUAGGGUGCGAGCGUUGUCCGGAUUUAUUGGGCGUAAGGGCUCGUAGGUGGUUGAUCGCGUCGGAAGUGUAAUCUUGGGGCUUAACCCUGAGCGUGCUUUCGAUACGGGUUGACUUGAGGAAGGUAGGGGGAGAAUGGAAUUCCUGGUGGAGCGGUGGAAUGCGCAGAUAUCAGGAGGAACACCAGUGGCGAAGGCGGUUCUCUGGGCCUUUCCUGACGCUGAGGAGCGAAAGCGUGGGGAGCGAACAGGCUUAGAUACCCUGGUAGUCCACGCUGUAAACGGUGGGUACUAGGUGUGGGGUCCAUUCCACGGGUUCCGUGCCGUAGCUAACGCUUUAAGUACCCCGCCUGGGGAGUACGGCCGCAAGGCUAAAACUCAAAGGAAUUGACGGGGCCCCGCACAAGCGGCGGAGCAUGCGGAUUAAUUCGAUGCAACGCGUAGAACCUUACCUGGGUUUGACAUGGAUCGGGAGCGCUCAGAGAUGGGUGUGCCUCUUUUGGGGUCGGUUCACAGGUGGUGCAUGGCUGUCGUCAGCUCGUGUCGUGAGAUGUUGGGUUAAGUCCCGCAACGAGCGCAACCCUUGUUCACUGUUGCCAGCACGUUAUGGUGGGGACUCAGUGGAGACCGCCGGGGUCAACUCGGAGGAAGGUGGGGAUGACGUCAAGUCAUCAUGCCCCUUAUGUCCAGGGCUUCACGCAUGCUACAAUGGCUGGUACAGAGAGUGGCGAGCCUGUGAGGGUGAGCGAAUCUCGGAAAGCCGGUCUCAGUUCGGAUUGGGGUCUGCAACUCGACCUCAUGAAGUCGGAGUCGCUAGUAAUCGCAGAUCAGCAACGCUGCGGUGAAUACGUUCCCGGGGCU